CUCCACCCUUGAGCGAGCGGGUUUAGAAUAACCCGUAACUCCGUCGUUCUAUUCACUCGUAUGUUCGAUUUCGACUGGUUCGUGUCAUCGUUCUCUUCCUUUAUACUAUUCUUCGAGCUCUCGAAAACGUAUCUACGAUCAUGGAGGUUGCCAAAGCAAACGAUACAGCGAGUAGCCUAGUCGAACAAUCGAACGUUGAAUCGGCAUUGAAGUCGGUGAAAACAUUGCAGAGUACUCAAAGCGUACAAACCAAAUCAGUGAUCGAGUCGUCGACUUCCAUUAAAUCGGUGACCACGUCGUCGAGCAGGUCGCAUCGAUCGAUGGAGUACGAGGAGUCGGUUGAAUACACCGAUGAAUAAACUCAUCUCGCGGCGAAAUCCCAGAGUUCCACAAAAAACCAAGUGGACACCGAACGUGGUCGAGGCUAAGGUGUUAACGGCAUGCUAAAUUAUUUGAUCGACUACAACUUAGUCCGAUCUAUUGUAUAGAAAAGGAAGAAAAAAAUGUCCUCCGUCAUCUAAUGUCAUAAAGGUACGACUUACGACAAUGUUUAAGUUCUUUAAAGAUCUAUCUUUUUUUUUGUUUUUGUCGAACGAAGAAAAAAGUCUUCCUUCGAUUAUAUUUUCUUUUCUUCUCGAAAUAUUCGAUAAUAUAAAAUAAUUUCAUGAAUUAAGGAAUAUAUCUUAAUCGUAAAAAUCUUAUCGCAAAUGAUACGAACGGGUCGACGAAAGAGAGAGAGAGUGAGAGAGAGAGUGAGAGAGAGAGAGAGGGGGGAGGGGUGAGAGAAAGAACAUAAAGGAAGAAAAGUUAUAAAAAUAAAAAAUAAAAAGAAAAUGUCUAAGAACAUGAACGUGAAUCAACGUGGAAUACUUCGAGAAAAAUUGACUCUCUUUAUCGUACGACGACGGGUCAAGGCAAGAGCCAGGAAUGCCAGUCUCGAUCGAAGAUGUCUACGUUAAAGAAAAAGACAAGAAGAAUAAGAAGAAUAAGAGGAAGAAGAAGAAAAAGAAAAAGAAAAAAACAAAUACGCGGAGGAACGUCUGGAAGUCUCGGCUACGAGUUUGGCUCCACUCCAAACGCCGGGUUCGCCGCCAAAUAGCAAAGAGCCCCUUCUUUUUUCUUUUACGAAUUCCCGUUCGUCUUUCUCCCCACUAUUGGACGUUCACCUCCCCUUAUACUCUAGUCCAAACCCUUUUCGCUCGAAUGUUCCGUCAUUGUCACGUCUUAAAAACCCGAUUUUCAUCCCAACGAAUCGUUUAAUCUUUGUACAAUAAAAUUUCUAAGACCGACACUUUGUUAUUCCCUCCUAAAAUCGAUUUAUCAUCAAUAUAAUUUAUCAUAAAAAAUAUUUUCACGAUAAUAAUAAUUGCAACAACAAAAAGAAAAAAAAGAAAAGGAAUUCUUUCGUCGGAUCAACAACAUCGUAUUACAGCGUUGUAUCGUCAUUUUGAUAAUGAAUAAUAAUAAGUAAUUUAAAUAAUAAUAUAAUAAUUUAAAUAUUAUAAUAAUGAGUAAUUAUAAAUUAUAAAUAGGUUUUUAUAAAACCUUUUUAAAGUACCUUUUUUUUCCUUUAUUUACUUCUUUUUUUUUUUUUCUUUUUGUUUUUUCACUUUAAUUAAAAGAAUUCGAUGGAAAUUUAACUAGAACUAGAAAACGUAUGCGAAGUUGUGAUUCAUUAUGAGCACGAGAAAAAUAAAAGGAAGUGUGUUUAGACAAAAGCAUGAUGAACCGUGGUUUAUAGUUUUCGCAUUUCAUUACUCUAAAAUUGUACCACCGGCACCGUUUAAACGAAUUCCACAUGGAAUAGCUGCUUGUCGUCGACUAAAUUCAACGCUGCCAACCAGUCACAAAGUGAUUCAUACUUGGCAAGAUAAUCGUAUCCAUAUGGCUCAAAACAAUUCAUACAAAGAACGUAUGCUUUUAUUACGUUAUCUCCUUCAGGUUUUUCUUUUCUCUAUUCCUUCAAGUUGAGUCGUUCCAUUUUAAAAGAGAUAUUAGAUUCAGAAAGAUUAAUAACAUCCUUAUUAACGGCUUGUAACGAAUGUAUUACAAUGAUCGUUAAAUAGAAUAAAUUAUUAGAAAAUAUUGUUUAAAGAGAAAAAAAUUGUCAUUCGAACGUACAGAUAAGUCACAAUUAUUUUAUCUGUCAAAUCGAUAAUUAAUAUUGUAAUUUAACUAAUAUCAAAUUAACCAUUCCACGACAAAUAUAAAAACAUUCUGGCAAAAUUUCAAUAUAAUAUCACAAUAGGACGUAAGAAAAUAAGAAAAUAAUAAUUUUUCUUCUAUCUGAUAAAUAAUAAACGAAUAAUAAUUAUCGAAAUUAAAACGUCAUCUACAAGUUAAUCUAUUACGUUCGAUAUUUUAAAAAAAUAUUUUCUUCUUCACUUUAUGCUUAGGAAAAAGAAAAGGAAUAAGAACAAAAGCAAAAUGGUUUUAUCUUGGAGGAAAAAUAAUUUGCAAAAAAUAAAAAAAAGUAUCCCAAGAGAUAUCAAAGAGGGGGAUUUGAUUUCUUUCGAUUUAUCUCCUUUUCACUUCGCAUGAAGCUAGCUUAAACUUUGGAACACAAGAACAAGCAUAAUACGGCAAAAUUUUGAGUAAGAGGAUAUUACGCAUACUUUGCGUAUUCUUUAAGUUAUAUCCAAAGUCGACAAAUGCGUACUCUUGCUGUCUCUAUAUAUUGAAAUAUAAACAUACUUAUUGGAUCGAUGCAAAAUUUUAUCGCAUUUUUUAUAAAAAAAAUUUGAAGAACUAAAAAAAGUUUUAAAUAAAUAAUUUUUGUAUAAAAAGUGGAACGAACUUUUGCAUCAAUCCAAUAUAAUAUCAGCUAUAUAUACAACGUAAUCUCAUUUGAUCGAAUAGAACACGACGUUAAAUUUGAUUUAUCGAUUGUUUGAAAAGAAAAAGAAAAAAAAAAAUUAUUUUCGAAGUGACCUCAUGCCGAGGAAUCAAACAGAUGAAUAUUUUCGUGGAAGGUUUCUAAAAAGAGAAAAAAGAAUAAAAAAAUGAAUAAAAGAAUCGAAAUUAUUCGAUUAAGGAUACGAAUAAAUUAUUGUAUCUAAUUCGAGUCUGACAUCUCAAUCAAACAACAUUCCAAAUGCCUAUAGAAUUAAAAGUUCUUACUGACUCGGAGGAGAACGAUUAGUAUGCAAUUAGUUCAGAAAUUUUUUUGGUUUUUUAGUAGCCAAAUAUAAACGUACGACGAGUCGUCUCCGAUUCUCCUUGUCGAGUCAUAAAUGGAAGAAUAUCAAAUAAGAAAUUUUUAAAUAAAUGAAUACGAGAGAUCUCUACUUUGAUUCGACUAGACUUUAAAAAGGAAGAGGGGGAGAAAAUUUCCAUGGAUACAAACUCAUACAGGAAUUACUCGAAAUAGAAAAUCAUAAAUAAGUCUGGUGAGUCAAAAGUGCUUUGAAUAUUUCAUUAAAACGUCAUUGACUAUCAUAGUUAUCGCGCUCUCGUAAAAUCAAAACCUUCCUUCUGAUCCAUUUUCUUAAAAAUUUAAAAAUAAACAAAAAAAAAACAAGCAGACAGAAACAGAGAGAGAGAGAGAGAGAGAGAGAGAGAGAGAGAGAGAAAGAAACAAAGAAUCAAAGAUAACGCAAAGUUACACUUUACUAAUCCUUUUUAUCAUCAUAUAUAUGUCAGAUAAUCCGAAAAGCAAAUUGAAUAAACCAUUUCUCUAUCUUUUAAGGAAGAUUGUAUCACAAAAAAAGAAGUUUUAUCUAUCAUUUGUCCGAAAACACCGGCCCUUUCACAAGAGUAAAUAACCUCUAGCUUAACAACAAAAAUGAUGGACAGGGAGAAGACAGACAAACAGAUAAAUAGAAAGAGAGAGAGAGAGGGAAGGGAAAGAAAAAAAGAAGUGUAAAGAAGAAGAAAAGAAAUAAGUCGAUAGUCGAUCUCUUCUUGAGAAAAAGAUGUUCCAGUGUGAAGAAAGAAAAAAAUGUCUGAAUGAGAGGGAGAAGAAUACUCGAGAACUUUUUUUCUUCUCUCUCUCUCUCUCUCUCUCUCUCUCUCUCUCUCUCUCUCUCUCUCUCUCUCUCUCUCUUGUUGGCUUUUUUAUGUACGCGAAAGAAAAUUUCUCUCGUUCUUAAGAAAAGCCGAAGAAAAGAAGGAACCGGAAAAUCGUUAGGUGAUAGACAGUUUCUCGGCAAUUGUCGUUUCGAAACGAUAAGAAGAAAAAUGCAUGUAACCCAGUGCCCUUAUUUCUUACGAAGAUUUGACUUAUCAAACGAGUUUUUAUCGAAGCUCUCGCAUUCGCAUUCGAACACGCAGACGAAAUGACAUGACAUAACGCAAUGCAACAGAACGAGAACGAGGAAAAGGAGAUAGAGGAGAACGAGAAAGAAGAAAAGACUUAUCUGCGAACAUAAGUGUAAGCUUUUAAAGCUACAAAGGUCGAACAAGAUGGUUCGCAAUUCGAUCGUUGCCAAAAUCAUUGUCUUACCUCUAACCUUUCGUUUCCACUAUCGAAAAGUAUCCAUUUAUUCCGGUUGAAUACAUUCUUGGAUAUUCACCUUGAAUUUGAAUGAAAGGGACACGGUUUUUUUUUUUUUUAUAUAUAUUUUCCUUUUAUGUUUUUCCCUCUUUUGGCUUUAAGAAACAAGAAGGAAAGAAAGAAGAAAUUAUUAUUUUCUUCGAAAAAAAAUAUGCGCCGACAAAGGAAAGACAAGGAUAUUAAUCUAUGGGCGAUGGGAUGAUUAAAGAAAAAAAUAUAUAAAUAAAUAAAUAAAUAAAUAAAUAAAUAAAUAAAUAAAUAAAUAAAUAAAUAAAUAAAUAAAUAAAUAAAUAAAUAAAUAAAUAAAUAAAUAAAUAAAUAAAUAAAUAAAUAAAAUGAGAAGAAAAAGAAAUUAAAAAUUGAAAAACACGCUAAAAAAUUGUUCUACCUUCUAACCCGUGACCGCUGUCCCUUGUCACUUUGAAUUAUCGAUCGAAUUUAACUAAAUGGUUAUUCUAUAACUUGAUAAUAACCUUUAGAAAAACGUCUGAUCCUUUUUGCGAACGUCGAUACUAAAAUCUCACGUUGGUUUAUCGUUUUGAGUGACGUACCCUACCUAGCUAUAUUUUAAGUUAUUUACUCGCUCGCACAAAGAAGCGAUUUAACGGCAGUUCACUCGAGGAAGCCAGAAAAUAUGAUCGAUGUAUUUCACUCAUCAUUGUUACGAGUUUGAAGAGAGAGAGAGAGAGAGAGAGAGAGAGAGAGAGAAAGAGCGAGAGAGAGAGAGAGAAAAAUAAAAAUGUAUGCGCGUGUACGCACUCGUUGUUCUUUAUUUAUACACACAAACAAACAUACAUACGAACUAUCAUUUUUUCCUUGUAUACAAUUAACUCGUUUUCCGAACUUAACAAGAACGUAUUACGAUAUUAUCGAUAUUCUUAAUCGAUAUCGAUAUCCUUAAUCGAUUAUCAUUUCCUUGAAACUUUUCAUACGACUUUUUCCCCUUUUUUUUUAAAUUAAUCAGAAUUAUCCUUUUAUUACAAAUAUCGUUUCCUCUUUGAUAUUUGAUAUGUGAUUUAUAUGAUAUUUAUUAAAGAAGGAUUCUCUCAUCCUCUUCUCGCAUAAUGAUUAUCCUUUUGAUUAAAAUGAUUUUCUAAUCGAUUUGCUUCGACUUUCCUCGAUAACUCUUGAGAAUUUUUUUGCGUACAAAGAAGGAAUCGUAAACGCGAUAUAUAAAGACAUAUUACAAUGAAACGAAUAAAAUAAUGGGCGGAGGAAAUAAGAAUGAUAGGCUCAAGGGAAAAAGAAAAGAAAAGAAAAGAAAAGAAAAGAAAAGGAAGAAAACAAAGACAGAGAAAAAAGAGGAAAAGAAGAAAACAGAAAAAAACUUGGCCUAAUACGAUUCGUCAGGUAUUACGAUGUUCUUUUGUCUUGGAAUCGAUCUUAAAGGCCAACUCUUGUAUUUCGUUAGACCUACUGGCCCUUUACGCUCGAAAGGAUCUACUUACUUACUUACUUACUUACUUACUUACUUACUUACUUAUUUAUCUACGGAAAUAAGGAAAAACAAGAUGAGAUUCUGAGAAGAAAAUUAUUCUACGAAUUCUUCUAUGCGGAUUAUAAUCUUAGCACUUUUUCUUUAUUUGUUAUUUUCACCGUACAGUAUUCGAUUAUGUUUUAUGAAUCUAAUCAUGUGAAAAAGAAAUGCUUCGAGAAUCAUUUCAAGAUAAAUAUCUCUUAUUGAUUAUUAUAUUAUAAAUAAUAAAUGUGAUAGAGUUUUGAAGUUCUAAAGUUUAAAAAUUUAAUCAGAAAUAUUUUGAGAAUCAUUUCGUAAAAAAAUCUUCUAUCAACCAAAUAUAACCAACCAAUGUUGAGAGUUUUUUAAAAUGAGAGUUUCGUGAGCUUCGAUUCCCGAAAAAAAAAAAUGCUUCGUUUCAAAUAUCUUUCAAAAUCGAUAUUGACGAACUCCUUCAAGAAAGCCACAAUCGAUUUCUUAUAUAAAUAUUUAACUGUAUCUAACGAUCUCCUUUGCAUUAGAAAUUUUGCAAACGAACUCUCUUCCGAACUGUAAAGGCUAACAUUCCUUUUCCUAUAUACGUUUCUACACAUCUUGUUAACCUAUUUACGUCAAAUACGAAAACGAAGACGCGUUUAUGGGUUUCAAAGAACACGCUUCGUAAAUAUUGUUUAAUACUUCUUCCUGAUUUAGUUGAAAAAGAAAAAAAAAAAAAAACAAAAAAAAACAAAAAAAAAAUUUCUUAAAAAUAUCAAAUAUUUCGAAUGAUCAUAGAAAAUUGAUCUACAUCUUCAUUUAUUCCUCAACUAUGUAAAAGAAUUUAUGGAAUUCAUUGAAUUAAUCGAAUUCGUCAAAUUUAUCAAAUUCACGAAAUUCUAUCUAAUUAUGAUACGAAUAUAACUUGUCCAAGAAACACGACGACGAUAUAAGAAAUCUAUAUGUUAAAACUAUCUAUUAAAAUAUUAUUUUAAAUAGUAUAUGGAAAUAUAAAAGAAAAACAAAUAAAAAGAAAAAGAAAAUAUAUAAAAGAUAAUGCUAUUACUUACCUGCUACUAUUUACUGAGGUAUUGCUCCUGCUACGUCGAGAUAUUAUAGAAUCGCCACGAUUGACGACACCUUUGUGAGUAAUACUGAAUGCCCUCAAUCUGUAGAGAUCGUCGCCAGCUCUCGGAUUGUACGCUUUUUCGGGUAAGCUGUGCACUCGAGGUCGUAUAUGAUCCGGCACUGGAAUGGUGUUGAAAAGACGAUUAGAGAUGAAAUCCUCUCGACGAACAUCCAGAACAAAGACAGAAGAAACAGAGCAAAAAGAGAAAGAAAGAAAGAAAGAGAAAGAGAGAGAGAGAGAGAGAGAGGGAGAGAGAGAAAGAGAAGAAAAAAGAAAAAGUUCACUCGAACACCAUUAUUGUUAAGUUUUGUUGAUCGAGAUAUAGAAUUCGUUAAAAAAUUCAAUUGAUACGUUCUCGCGGGACUGUCGAAGAAAUAUCAGAAAGAAGAAAAAAGAAAGAAAGAAAGAAAGAAGUAAAAAAAUAAAAAAAUGGAAGGGCGAAUUCGAUUGAAUCAAUUCGCAGUUAUAAUAAAUUUAUAUAGUAGGUUACGGGCCUAUAUGUUAUACAUAUCUGAUAGAAUAAAAUAACAACUUGGCAUAUACGUUUCUAUUUGGAAAAUAAAUAAUUCAUUUCUAUCGUUCUACCUUUAUUUAUAUUAGUACGAAUAAAUAAAAGAAUGGUUUCGCGAAUAAAAGCAAAAACCUUAGUCAAUCUUAUUUAACGAGAUUUUUUUUUCGUAAAUUUGUAAAUAACAAAUUUGUUUUAACUGGUUGGAAAGACAAAUAAAUCAUCGAAGAACAUAAACAAAAUAUAGUUUAACAAACUGCUAAUAUGAUGUUAUUCACGGUAUAAAAUCUAUUAGUUUCAAUAUGUAUAUCUUACAGGAAUCUGCAGAGAUUUCUGCCUACAUAAUCUCUAAACAACGAACGCUUCGUCUAUGAAUAGCAUGAUUCACUCAUGUACUCCCACGAAGCUGAAGCUAGGUUAUAGCUCCGAAAAUCAUGUCUCAAGCAACUAUGAAAAAAAGGAAGAAA